rnacentral:rRNA from 1 species
UCGAUUCCCUUAGUAGCGGCGAGCGAAACGGGAAGAGCCCAAACCAACAAGCUUGCUUGUUGGGGUUGUAGGACACUCUAUACGGAGUUACAAAGGACGACAUUAGACGAAUCAUCUGGAAAGAUGAAUCAAAGAAGGUAAUAAUCCUGUAGUCGAAAAUGUUGUCUCUCUUGAGUGGAUCCUGAGUACGACGGAGCACGUGAAAUUCCGUCGGAAUCUGGGAGGACCAUCUCCUAAGGCUAAAUACUCUCUAGUGACCGAUAGUGAACCAGUACCGUGAGGGAAAGGUGAAAAGCACCCCGGAAGGGGAGUGAAAUAGAACCUGAAACCGUGUGCUUACAAGUAGUCAGAGCCCGUUAAUGGGUGAUGGCGUGCCUUUUGUAGAAUGAACCGGCGAGUUACGAUUUGAUGCAAGGUUAAGCAGUAAAUGUGGAGCCGUAGCGAAAGCGAGUCUGAAUAGGGCGUUUAGUAUUUGGUCGUAGACCCGAAACCAGGUGAUCUACCCUUGGUCAGGUUGAAGUUCAGGUAACACUGAAUGGAGGACCGAACCGACUUACGUUGAAAAGUGAGCGGAUGAACUGAGGGUAGCGGAGAAAUUCCAAUCGAACCUGGAGAUAGCUGGUUCUCUCCGAAAUAGCUUUAGGGCUAGCCUCAAGUGAUGAUUAUUGGAGGUAGAGCACUGUUUGGACG